ensembl:lncRNA
CAUAAACGGUGCGGGAUUGGCUUUGCUGACCCGCUGCUCGGCAGCUCCUUUCAUCUGCCCGGGCUCACGUGUCCCACAUCAAGGAGGCAAUUUCCUUUACAACAGCUCUGGCUGUGCGAGCCUCAAUACCAGCAGUCAUCUUAGUUUUCAGGAUCGGCGGACUACAAAGAAAGACGAAAGAGAACAACUGAACGCCAUUCCCUUCCCCCCGGCUCAGCCUGGCACAGAACUGCCCGGCUUCUCCCCGCUUGCUCUGCCGCCAGCCGAGGGGAUGCUGAGCUCAGGGGGACUCCGGUUGUGGAUGAAGCAGAAGGGAUUCGACAGAGAGAGAACUGCUCCUUUCUACCCCUCUAAAGCUCCUAAGAACGGUGCUCAGAGCCAUCCUCGGCCAUCUCGGCUGCUGUGCUGUUGGGAGGCUGUGUAGCACCCCGGGUCCCUCCUGUUUGCAGUCUGCGCCACGGAGUCAGAAAGGCUCUCCAUAACCAAAAGAGGAGGGUGGAAGAGACCACAUUCAGGCUUAAAAUCUCGUGUUCUACUCAGCUGUGACAGCACAAACCACCUUGGCAGUGUUUUUUCUCCCCUGGAUUCAAUAUUCUGGACCUGCAGCAGCUCUGCAGAGGGUUUGUUAUGGGGACGUCAGCUGGACCACAAAGCAAACACUUUGUGAGGUGCUCACCUGCAAUUUCACCACAAACAGGAGAGGUCCUGGAGCGAACCGAUGGCAUUGGGAGUUUGCUCCUGGCCAGCCCAGAUUGCCUCCAUCUACCAAACCUCAUCCCAGUGGUCUCUCCUGAAGCUCAUGUUUGCCACCCAUGGAGCCACAGUAAUCAUUCGGUGCAGCCAAGAGCAUCACAGCGAUGCUGUAUCCAUCCUGAGCUGCAGCGGUGGCUGUCCUUUCCCCAGCAUCCCUGACCCAACCUGGGUCCUGAAUGCUCUUUGUGGUGAGGCCCCGGCACUGCCCAGAGUUGUGGGUGCCCCAUCCCUGGAAGUGCCUGAGGCCAUGGAUGGGUCCUGAGCAGCCUGAGCUGAAGGGCAGCCAGCCCUUGCCGACGUUGUCCCGCAUUUUCACUUCUCCAAAAAGAUUUAAUUAUGUCAACAAUGGCAUCGAUGAGUUACUGCGACAUUUUGAAGCCCAGCAAAAAUGGUGGUUAGAGCACUCCCAGUCAACACGCCUCCUACCACCGCAUUCCGAGUGCAGUAUUAAGGUUCAUGGAGUUCAGAAACAAACUGUUUAAUUGCUGGACACAGGAUAUAUUUUGAUCUCCUUCAAUAAAAGAAAAUGAAUGAAA